GCUGUUGGCAUCUGGCACUGUGAUUCCAUGAAAACGGUGGCUGGUGGGGUCUGGACUUAAAUCACUUCUGCUGUCACAGUGAAGUCUGCC
rnacentral:miRNA from 1 species